rnacentral:rRNA from 1 species
GUGCAGCAGGCGAGAAACCUCCGCAAUGCGGGAAACCGUGACGGGGUCACCCCGAGUGCCACCCGAUGAGGGUGGCUUUUCCCCGGUCUAAAAAGCCGGGGGCAAUAAGCGGGGGGCAAGUCUGGUGUCAGCCGCCGCGGUAAUACCAGCCCCGCGAGUGGUCGGGACGUUUAUUGGGCCUAAAGCGUCCGUAGCCGGCUCGGUAAGUCCCUCCUUAAAUCCACGGGCUCAACCCGUGGGCUGGGAGGGAUACUGCCGGGCUAGGGGGCGGGAGAGGCCGAGGGUACUCCCGGGGUAGGGGCGAAAUCCGUUAAUCCCGGGAGGACCACCAGUGGCGAAGGCGCUCGGCUGGAACGCGCCCGACGGUGAGGGACGAAAGCUGGGGGAGCAAA